rnacentral:rRNA from 1 species
AACGAACGCUGGCGGCAGGCCUAACACAUGCAAGUCGAACGAGAAGCCACCUUCGGGUGGUGGAUAGUGGCAGACGGGUGAGUAACGCGUGGGAACGUGCCUUUCGGUUCGGGAUAACCCAGGGAAACCUGGGCUAAUACCGGAUACGCCCUCCGGGGGAAAGAUUCAUUGCCGAAAGAUCGGCCCGCGUCGGAUUAGCUAGUUGGUGGGGUAAAAGCCUACCAAGGCGACGAUCCGUAGCUGGUCUGAGAGGAUGACCAGCCACACUGGGACUGAGACACGGCCCAGACUCCUACGGGAGGCAGCAGUGGGGAAUAUUGGACAAUGGGCGCAAGCCUGAUCCAGCCAUGCCGCGUGGGUGAAGAAGGCCCUAGGGUUGUAAACCCCUUUCAGCGGGGAAGAUAAUGACGGUACCCGCAGAAGAAGCCCCGGCUAACUCCGUGCCAGCAGCCGCUGUAAUAC